AGUGAACGCUGGCGGUAGGCCUAACACAUGCAAGUCGAACGGCAGCACAGUAAGAGCUUGCUCUUACGGGUGGCGAGUGGCGGACGGGUGAGGAAUACAUCGGAAUCUACUUUUUCGUGGGGGAUAACGUAGGGAAACUUACGCUAAUACCGCAUACGACCUACGGGUGACAGCAGGGGAUCUUCGGACCUUGCGCGAUUGAAUGAGCCGAUGUCGGAUUAGCUAGUUGGCGGGGUAAAGGCCCACCAAGGCGACGAUCCGUAGCUGGUCUGAGAGGAUGAUCAGCCACACUGGAACUGAGACACGGUCCAGACUCCUACGGGAGGCAGCAGUGGGGAAUAUUGGACAAUGGGCGCAAGCCUGAUCCAGCCAUACCGCGUGGGUGAAGAAGGCCUUCGGGUUGUAAAGCCCUGUUGUUGGGAAAGAAAAGCAGCAGGUUAAUACCCCGCUGUUCUGACGGUACCCAAAGAAUAAGCACCGGCUAACUUCGUG
rnacentral:rRNA from 1 species